rnacentral:lncRNA from 1 species
GUGUAUAUGUGUGUGCGCGUAGAUUGAGAGGGAGAAAGAGGGGCAAAGACCUUCAUCUUAUAAACACAAAAAAAUUCAGCAAUUAGGAAGGAAAUUGGUGAUCAAUCUUAUGCAUGAAGAUCAUCUCUUAACCAUCAAAGUUUGAUAAUCAUAAGGUGUGAAAGAACAAGGAUCAAUCAAAAAGAGGUCACAAAGUUCAAACGAUCGAGAUGAGAAUGGUCGAACUCUUGGCGUGAUAAAACUAGUAGAACUGGUGAAAAGAUGCACACGAGCGGAAGCUCAUUACAUGGAUGGACGAGGUCAAUCUAGUUUUAACACGCGCUCAUAAGGGGCGGGCUGAAUCGGGACACGGAUCAUUGUUUAUGUAAAUAAUAAGGUUAGUAAAAUAUUUGACUUGUGAAUGUUAAACAGAAAGUUAUAGACGGAAUAAUGUUCCAUACGAACAAAUGGUAACACAAGCAUGUCGUGGUUUGGAAGAUUUGACUUUUAGAGGUCAAGAAAAGAACGAAAAUUUUAGUUAAAACUCAACGUCAAUAAUCAAGGCGUAGGCGUGUAUAGUAAGUAAUGCAAAAAAAAUGAACGGCAAUUCAUGGUGACCUGAAUGAAACAAUACGAAACUUAAUUUAGGAAUGUACUUAGUACCAUGUAACGGUAACAAACCUAAAACGAUGUUUAACUCUCGAGACAAGUACGAAUAACUAAGAAGGAAAUAAUGGUUGGGUUGUGAUAACUAUAUCUAUGAUGAAAUGUCUAAGUAAAGUUAGGAUGUGAGAUUGUACGAAAGACUCGACAUAUAUGAAUGAAAUAUGAUAAUAAUGUAAUUAGUAGUAAACUAACUUGAGAAAUGUGCUAUAGAUGAAACUUGUAAGAAUUCGGGUUGAAUGUAUGUUUUGGGAAAGAUUAUGCAUUAGGUGCUUGUACAUUGCGCUUGAAUUGGUGAUACUCGCCAUGUGUUAUAUUAAUUACUUAAUUUGCGAUUAAGAAGUGAAUGUGUGCCAAAAGUAAAACAUAUGAACUUGCUAGUGAAGGAUAAUGUUAUGAUUAUGUUAAAUUGACUAACCUUGUAUGUGGUUAUCAAAUGUAAUAUAAUGAAAGCAUUAGCAUGUGUAAAACUGAUUAUGUGUAUUUGUGUACAAAAUAUUUAUGGUGCAAUUAGCAUAACCGACUACACGAUAUGAACAUAUGUUCCUAAGUUGGAAGUUUGCAUACUUGAUCGUUGACUUUUCAGAAAAGUCAACGAGUAUGAGAAUAGCAUGAUUAGAAAUCCUAAUAUGAUUGUAAUAAUAGAAGGAUUGAAUGAUGUAUGAUGAAUCCGUACAUGUUAUACUUGAUGAUAUGUUAAAUUUGUGUGAAUUUGGGAUGAUGCAUUGUUGAAUUAUGCCUUGUGCUUGUUACAAAUGAUAAGUGAAAGUCAAAUGCGAGAUAUGAACUAGAUAUGAUAGGUGAUAUAUAAAAUCUUGUAUAUGGUGACAUGUAAGGAUAAGCAUCAUAUCAAGAUGACGCUAACAUGAAAGGCAAAUGGGUCAAAAGGAGGCGAGGAAGCAAUAACGAAUACAGACGCUUAAUGUAAGUGAUUAUCGAUCUCACUUCUUAUUUUGUUUAGAUAAAGUAUCUAUAUUUGAGUAGUUGAAAUCAAGUAAGGAUGUAUAAAUAAUGGAAUUUCUAGGAUAUGGAUGGUUGUAAUGGUCGAUGGAUGUCAAUCCGGUGAAACCUCAACAAAGGGGCAAACGAGUUAAAACUUUUAGAAGAAAUAUUUAGCUGAAGAACAUGUGGAUUGGAUUAGGAAAUGUAUGGAAUGAAUUGAGAAAUUGAAUAAUGAUUUAUAUCACGUAAUAGAACCACUGAGACACACGGUUAGUGAGUAGAAAGAACAAAACGCAAAAUCAGUGUCUGAGCUGCAGAGGAGGCGUCGGCGACGCCCAGCCGUGUUGCAGCCGGCACCUUAUCUUACUGUCUACACGGGUCCGACGCAGGAAACCCGUUUUCACGUUUUUCUCAUUUUUCCUCGCUUCCAAGGCCCCACUAAGCUUCCCAAAGGCAUCCUAGGCCUACUAUAGAGUUUUGUGAGGUACAUGUAAGAACGAAAACUUAGGAGGGCAAGUACGAAGAUGUGACAUGUAUGUUGAUAUGUUUUCUUUAUGUACAUGGGUAAGUUUUUAGUAAGUAAAACUUAUUGGGUGUUAGUUGCAUUUUUAGGCACGUUUUUAUUGUAUAUUUAUGUUAAAAUUCACCACAUAUCAUGCAUAUAUCAUAGUCAUACCUCAUUAUUUUGUUAAACACGUGUUUUUGUGGAAUGGAAUCUACUUUGGUUGGUUUUUGGUUGAUACUGUAGGUGCGGAGCGCUUGCUAAGGAAGGCAUAGGAGUCGGAAAGAGUUGGAAGGAUUUUUGAAGGCAAAUGUUUCAAGACGAGAGCUAUUAGUCUUGAAAGAAGCAAGUUGAAGUGAUAAAAUUAGACGGAUGCCGAAAAAGAACGUAAUUGGCCGAAGGUUUAUUCUAAUUUGUUCACAUAAAAAUUGUGAAUAUGAUUAAUUAGAGAUUGAUGAGAAUACCAAGAUAUGGCACGUUAGGCCUUCAAGUUCACUCAUCUUUGUGUAUUUGGAUUAAUUAAGAAAGUGGGCUUCAUAAAUUUAUUAGUGCGGGCUUCGGUGGAAGUUAACUUACAAAAGCUACAUAGAAUGAAAUUGGACAAGUAAACCUAGGCUUGGGGGCCCAGCUGCAAUAACAUCAACAAAAACAACCUGGACGACUUCGAAGACGGCUGCAAUCCAGAGAGAAGCAAGAGUUGGGAUUUUGGGAAGUAUUUUUGGUUUCGUACGUUGUUAGUUCUAUGUUUUGUUUCGUUUUAGUAUUGAUUGUUCUAGCCAUCAUGUCCGGCUAGACUCUUAUAGUUUCGACAUUAGGGUUUAUUUUCUUUGAUUUGGUUCACAAUCUUAUGUGAAACGAUCACGUUUGAUUCGAUUAUUUUAGUGGUUUGUUUGUGU